AGAGCCAAGCCAGGACUUCGUUCCUCUCUUCUCCCGCCUUCCACCACACUCUGAGGCAGAGAGUUCCACUGCUGAACAGUUUGUGCAGUCAGGAAGUGCUUCCUAAUCUUCAGGUGGAAUCUCCUGUCGGCAAAAGUAUGAUAACUAGGACCCAAUGCCAAGACAGCGCAACGAAUGAGAGACGCAGUUUGGGUCUCCAGAUGUUACUGACCAAGUCCAUGACAUGAGAGUGUGGAGAACAGCAAACCACAGACCACCUACUACAAUGUAACCUGAGCCCUGCCACAUGCACAGUGGAGGACCUUCUUAUAGCAACACCAGAGGCAUUUCAAGUGGCCAGCUUCUGGUCAAAGGGCAUUUAGUAUAAUACAAAGUUUUUAACUUUGUUUCUGUUUUUAAAUACAUUACAACUGUACCCUCAAUUUGCUUCUGACACAAUAAAUAAAUACUGACUGACA